CCCCUCUCAGGAUCGCACCUGGAGGGUUUCCAGUCCUCUACCAGACUCGACUAUGUGAGGGAGAGUCAAGCAGAGGCCUGUCCAUUCCAUUCCAUUCCUAGCUUGGGCAGUGGCUAGCGAGUGGAAGGCAAUCUGCUAUAAAU
rfam:Ornithorhynchus anatinus chromosome 3, whole genome shotgun sequence.